CUUUUUCCCUUUUGCUUCCUAUUGUGGGUCUCCGUGCCUUUUAUUCUCCAAAUGCUGAUUUGCUCCAGAUAGCAACCCUAUUGUGUUACAAUCUGGCAAAUCUUACCCAGAUUUAAGAACACAGCUCUGUCCCUUUAGAACUUGUAGCUUAUUUUCAUUGUCAUUUUUCAUUCUUGAGUAGCUUUUAAGUCAGUUUGAAGGAUAAACUCAUUAGCAAAAUACUUGGAAUACUCCAAUAGAUGAUAUCUCGAUGCCAGUUUUGUGUGAAUCAUUCACACAUUUCAUAAAGUUGUAUCUCCCCUUAUGCCAAAGCCACAGUAGAAAGAUUAAAAAAAAAUUAUUGAGCUAUUUUUUGUCAUGCAUAUAAUGCCAUGAUGCC
rnacentral:lncRNA from 1 species